rnacentral:rRNA from 1 species
GGGGAAUAUUGGACAAUGGGCGAAAGCCUGAUCCAGCAAUGCCGUGUGUGUGAAGAAGGCCUGCGGGUUGUAAAGCACUUUAAGUUGGGAAGAAAAGCUGAUGGUUAAUACCCAUCAGUGUUGACGUUACCAACAGAAUAAGCACCGGCUAACUCUGUGCCAGCAGCCGCGGUAAUACAGAGGGUGCAAGCGUUAAUCGGAAUUACUGGGCGUAAAGGGUGCGUAGGCGGUCUCUUAAGUCGGAUGUGAAAUCCUUGGGCUCAACCUAAGAAUUGCAUACGAUACUGAAAGACUAGAGUACAGUAGAGGAUAGUGGAAUUCCACGUGUAGCGGUGAAAUGCGUAGAUAUGUGGAGGAACACCAGUGGCGAAGGCGGCUAUCUGGACUGAUACUGACGCUGAGGCACGAAAGCGUGGGGAGCAAAC